AGAAGAACAAGACACCAAAUCCACUGGAUAGGAUGAACUGUCCAAGGGGCUGCUCCCCACCGGCCACUCAACGUGGAUUCAGCAGCAGAAGCUCCUGCAGACCACGCCAAUGGUCCUCCAGUUUCCGGCAGAGGUUGUCAGCAGAGGAGAAUGAUGACGGGCACUCUAAAUGAGAGGUAAUCAGUCUUAUGACAGCUGUGGUGACAAAAGAAAGGGACUUUCCAUCUCCGAGGGACCAAUAGCCUGAGACCCAGAGAAGAAGGGGAGAAGACUUGUCUGUGUGAGGGUGACUAUAAGGUCACAAAGGAAGAAGUCACUUCUACCACAAGGAAAGGAGUUUGAUCAAGAAGGUCUUCAAAGGAGAAAUGAUGCUGAGGAAGGGGGCUCCUGAAUGAACAGUGUGUUCCUGUUGCAUGUCACGGGCCAGAACAUUCCUGGCUGGGGCACAACACUCGGGACACUUGGGCACAAAUAGUUCUGUAGGGACCAUCCUGGGGGGUGGGCGGGACACCCAGGGUGGGCUCCUGUUCUCUGAGGCAGCUCUUGGAGUCCUCAGGUCCCU